GAUGAACGCUGGCGGCGUGCCUAAUACAUGCAAGUCGAGCGAACGGACGAGAAGCUUGCUUCUCUGAUGUUAGCGGCGGACGGGUGAGUAACACGUGGAUAACCUACCUAUAAGACUGGGAUAACUUCGGGAAACCGGAGCUAAUACCGGAUAAUAUUUUGAACCGCAUGGUUCAAAAGUGAAAGACGGUCUUGCUGUCACUUAUAGAUGGAUCCGCGCUGCAUUAGCUAGUUGGUAAGGUAACGGCUUACCAAGGCAACGAUGCAUAGCCGACCUGAGAGGGUGAUCGGCCACACUGGAACUGAGACACGGUCCAGACUCCUACGGGAGGCAGCAGUAGGGAAUCUUCCGCAAUGGGCGAAAGCCUGACGGAGCAACGCCGCGGGAGGGAUGAAGGUCUUCGGAUCGUAAAACUCUGUUAUUAGGGAAGAACAUAUGUGUAAGUAACUGUGCACAUCUUGACGGUACCUAAUCAGAAAGCCACGGCUAACUACGUG
rnacentral:rRNA from 1 species